GACGAACGCUGGCGGCGUGCCUAAUACAUGCAAGUUGAGCGCUGAAGGUUGGUACUUGUACCAACUGGAUGAGCAGCGAACGGGUGAGUAACGCGUGGGGAAUCUGCCUUUGAGCGGGGGACAACAUUUGGAAACGAAUGCUAAUACCGCAUAAAAACUUUAAACACAAGUUUUAAGUUUGAAAGAUGCAAUUGCAUCACUCAAAGAUGAUCCCGCGUUGUAUUAGCUAGUUGGUGAGGUAAAGGCUCACCAAGGCGAUGAUACAUAGCCGACCUGAGAGGGUGAUCGGCCACAUUGGGACUGAGACACGGCCCAAACUCCUACGGGAGGCAGCAGUAGGGAAGCUUCGGCAAUGGACGAAAGUCUGACCGAGCAACGCUGCGUGAGUGAAGAAGGUUUUCGGAUCGUAAAACUCUGUUGGUAGAGAAGAACGUUGGUGAGAGUGGAAAGCUCAUCAAGUGACGGUAACUACCCAGAAAGGGACGGCUAACUACGUG
rnacentral:rRNA from 1 species